rnacentral:rRNA from 1 species
CUCAGUACGGCGAGUGAGCGGCAACAGCUCAAAUUUGAAAUCUAUCUCCUUUGGAGGUCGAGUUGUAAUUUGUAGAGGAUGUUUUGGGUACCGCCGCGGUUUAAUUUUCUUGGAACAGGAAGCCAAAGAGGGUGAGAGUCCCGUCUUGGACCGCGGUAGGGCUCGUGUAAAACUCCUUCGACGAGUCGAGUUGUUUGGGAAUGCAGCUCAAAUUGGGUGGUAAAUUCCAUCUAAAGCUAAAUAUUGGCGAGAGACCGAUAGCAAACAAGUACCGUGAGGGAAAGAUGAAAAGCACUUUGGAAAGAGAGUUAACAGUACGUGAAAUUGUUGAAAGGGAAACGUUUGAAGUCAGACGUGCGUUGUGCGAUUCAGCUCCGGUUCGCCGGAGUGUAUUUCGUACUAUUGCAGGCCAGCAUCGGUUUGGCGAGCCGGAUAAAGGUUAGAGAAAGGUAGCGGUUCAGGCCGUGUUAUAGUCUUUAACUGAAUACGGAUUGCUAGACCGAGGGACGCAGUGCGCCGUAAGGCAAAGCUUUCGGGCUUUUCGCGCUUAGGAUGCUGGUGAAAUGGCUUUAAAUGACCCGUCUUGAAACACGGACCA